AAGUUAAACUGUAGUUAGUUUAUUUAGUUUCAUUUCUAUAUUUUGGACUAAACUUAUGCUGUCGUAGCCUUGUCGGUACUAAUUACUUUUAAUUCAAUACAUCUAUUCACAUAUCACGUAUAGUUGCAGACAUGUCACUGUCACUUCUUUCAAACUUGUUCAUGACAUUUGUGGCCGUGGAUCAAUGUCGUCUGUGGAAAAAACUUGUUGCAUUUGUCAUGGCCGUCAGGUUAGUGUUGGGUCUGGCUGACACGACUCCUUGCCAUCUGGUUGUGUUUGUCACCUUUUGAGCUUUUCCAAUCGAUCUGUUCAUCAGGUUGGUGCGGUGAUCUGAUUUGUGUUCAUCCAAAUAUAAUCAAUUUUAGUUCUGGAUUUUUUAUCUUGUAUUUGCUUUUAUUCCAUUUUUUGACAUACGUGCCCAUCUCAUCGGCUUUUUUUCUGGUAUGCUUGACCUACAUUUUUUACUGGAAUACAUGAGCUAUGUGAGAAGAUUAAGUUUGUGUUGGGUAUUUUUUUGUUUCGCACUUGUAGCUGGAUGGAGGAGCCAAUUAUCAUGGAUGAUGUUUUAGAAGCAAAAUUGUGUAGGACUUGUUCAACACGGUCUAUGUGUUCCGAUGAUUUUUAAAAAUCAACUGUGUUCAACAGAUUGUUUAUCUGUUAGUUAAAUUCAUGAGCCUUUGAAUUGGGUUUGUAUGAAAUUUGUGUAGACAGUCAGUCAUGCAUGCAAAGAGAGAGUGGAUGGGUGGAUUGAGUGCGUUCUGGGGUUUUCUUCAUUAUCCAUUGAACUAGUUUGAUUUGUGGUGAGGCAUGUUAGGGUCCAAUUUUGGGGAUUCCUAAUCAACAUUUGUUUUUUUGUUGUGCAAAUUUGAUAGCAGGUGGUGCCCAGCACCCAGAUGCCUGAUGCUGUUUUCAAGGAGUGGGAAAUGUGAUUUGAAAAAUAUAGUCAAUACAGGAGCACUGCCUUUCUUCUACAAACGCAAUCUUUUCCCUGGUAAAGGACCAAUAAGACGUACCAGAUUAUUGAUACCAGUGUUGAAACUCUAUUUUUCUUGUCUGUCCAUUCUUUUCCUCGAUAUUGACAUGUGAUUUUCACACUGUAUUAUAUUUGUGAGAUAUAAUCGACAACCUGUAUGGUACAUUCAUUAAUUUUUCAAGUGUUUGCGAUGCUCUUGUUUCUUUAUGUAUAGAUUUCCUGGAAGGUUUGGGAGCUAGCAGUUGUGCUCGCCAAGUGUUUGAUAAAUUCAACAUUUCCAAGCGGCAGGAGACAGGAUUGCAGAAAUGGAGUUGAGGUUGAGGAGAACUCAGGCUUACACAAACAUGUUUUGAAAGUGCAUUGAGAAGAGGUGCAUUGAGAAGAGGUACACCUAAUUUUAUACAGACAAGUGCAUUGAGAAGAGUGAGGUUUGUUAAAGUUGCAUUCUUGAUUUCCUUUUGAGGUUGGCCCUUUGUGUGUACUGAUUUGUGGUUCGAUUGCCAGGUAUGUAGUCGAUUCCCUUUUCUACUCUUUUGUGGAUGCACCUAUUUUGUGUUGUUCUGUUAGUUUCCCUUCCGCUUUCAGUCUAACGGCCUCGUCAUUCGCUGAGAGCCCGACACGUUCGUCGCACACUCGCACGCACGCUCGCACCCAUGGUCGUUCACUGGUUGAUUGUAGUGAUGGACAACAUAGGAAGAUAUGUGCAUCAUAUUUUCUUGUGGUUAGCAAAAAACCUUAGACAUCACAAAUGUUCAGUUGAGUGCUUUUUCAGUUGAACCAUUACAAUGUUUAAUUAGGUGAUCUAUCUUGACUGCAGUCAUGCCCAACACUAACCACAAACUAUCACAUUAUCUGUACUGCUAUCUUUUU